AAACUGCUUUAAAUAUUCAUUUUUCUUUUGAGCUAUUCAAUUAAGAACAGCAAAAUAGCUCCCUAAUUUAAAUAUUUCAUAUAAUCAGAUGCAUCAUAAUCAAAAGGUAGCCUUCUCUUCUAGCCAAUUCAGUGACUUCAAUUUAAUAAAACUAGUCUUACACUAGUCCUGAAAGUUCAACAAUUAUUCCCAGAUAAAAAUAUAAGGAAAUAGAUGCCUUGAUUUUCUUAUGUGUAAACAUGGAAACUACAACCCAGGAGAAUUCGUCUAUCCUGACCAAAGCUAAGAAUGUUGGAAGGAAAAAGAAACCACAUUCUUUAAACUUUCCAACCAUUAAAUAUAAUUUGUUUGUGUCAUUGAUAGAGGUCCCCUCAUUUGUCUGCCUUGAAUCAUUUAAGAGCUUAUGAUGCUGGUGAUGGCUACAAGAAUGUAAAACAGAGCACUUUCCAGCAAAAUAUAAACAAACCUUGAAUAUGGGACAGGAUUCUGGGUGUGCUCUGGCUACAGGCAAAGCUGGAAGAGGCUUUGUGAGGAGUUUUAGAACUUUUUAGAAACAACUUUUAGAAAUGAACCUUAAACACACAAGGAAGUCUUGAUUCUAAUGAAACAAAUUAUAGUAUCUUAUCAUCAUAGUGGCUGGUUGGAACUACUGGGCAGAAAGACUCACAUGUAUUUGUCACUCAAAAAAAUGAUUUAUAAUUGAAUCCUAAUAAAAUGUAAAACAAAACCUGACAUAUUUCCAGGCCAUGACUGGAUGGCCACCUGCAGGGAUGAUGACCCCUACCUGGUCAAGCAAUGGACUUCUUGGAUGAUUUCCCAGAGCCUGUGGUACUUUGGUUGCUCUCCCUUUCAUUAGACAUGUAUUUGCAUAGUUUGAAAGCAUGUGAAUUUGAACAAUAUCACUUAGUUUUUCAGAUGAAUGGUCUGAGGAGCUUUCAUACUUAGAAAUUGUGUUCCCUGUUACAAAUUGUACUCCAAAUUCGGAAAAUGUCCUUCGAAUGUCUUCAGCUAAGAUGCCUCCACAAACAUCUGUCUGCAUUAUUGAAAAGCCCACCUACUGUGUCCCAGGACCACAAGUGGACCAGUGUCUCCGGAACAAAGGGAUCAAAAUGAUAAUCGUCCUUCCACCACUUGAUGAUAACUCACGUUCUGCAACUUUUCUAAUGCCCCAUUCUGCAAGCAAACGUCAGGGCUUUUUCAAGGAAACCCCAGCAAAAAGAAACCUCACUGAUGUGCUCCAUAAAGGUCAGCCUCUUCAGCCACAGCUCCAGGUGAAGAAGGGUGGAAGAUGGAUCUGAAAAGGCAAACUGUACUAUCUACUGACUACUGUGAUAGAUGAGAACUCUCUGUGGUGCAGGUUUGGGGAAUGGCAUGCUUCACUCUAAGGACAUGAGGCUAAAGACAUGGAGAAGCUUUCCCCUGGAGCCUGAAUACAAUUGGCCACAAGAACUUUAAUCCAUGUUGUACAGUGGUGAGUGCCAGAUCUCAGGUAACAGAGGUUGUUUUUGGUUUGUUUUUCUGUCCUGUUUUGUAUUUUUAUGUAUGUUUGUGCUAUGCAGAAAUAUGUAAACUUACCAGCCCAGGGAAGGGGACCAUUUUGGGCAGGUCAACUGUUUAAGGGUCAUAGGUCAUUUUCAACAUCAGAGGAGCAUCUGUUGAAGAAGCAGCCAAUUCCAAAAGCUUGAAAAAGUGCCUCCAUAUUGUCUCAAGCUUAAUUAAAUCAGGACUUCUAUAUAUGAUUUAUUUUUGUCCAAUUUAUUUGGCAAUGGUAUGUAAUAUUUCAAACCUCAUCUGUUCUUAGCUAACCCAGAAGAAUAAGUCAGAUCUGUAGAGUGUCCAUUGGGUCCCAUCUAACACUGCACAAUGAGACAAAAAUACACUUAAAGUAUAAAAAAGAGAAAAGAAAGCUGUUCAUCACUGUUUCUAUGCAAUUUUGUUUUCCAUUAUACCAAGAAAACUUAAAAAUACAAAACCAAUAAAAGAGAUUUUAGGAAUAGGAAUUGCUCUGAAGAUUUUGCAAACAAGUGCUAGAAAAAUGAAUUUAAAAAAGACACCCAUUCUCCAUUCCAAGAAUGGAAGAUUUACGUUCACCAAAGGAAAACAGAUGUGUGUCAAAUUGCUACUUAAUCCUUGUCCAGACAGAAUUCAAUCAGGGCAAGGUGCCUGAUCAAAUUACUGUGAUGAUCUAUUGAAGUUAUAAAUAUGACAAUUCCCACAACAGAAAGAAAAAUGGGCUAUCAAUAUAUAUAAGAAUAUAUAUGUACAUUGAAUGGAAGAAACAAGUUGCAGAAUUUCAGAAUCUAGAUGAUAUUAAUAUAACAUGAAACACUUCAUGUUGAUACAGAAAUUCUGUUAAAAUGUGUAUGUGUGUAUUAGUAUAUAUGUAUAUAUUAUGUGUAGAUAUAUAUAAUACAUGCACAUUAUGCACACACACACACACACACACACACACCAUAAAUAUAUUUGGGUAUGUUUAGAUAGGUCCACCAGAAGUUUUUAUAUAAACAAUAUGAAUUGUAUUAAAUAAACAGUGGAAGUCAUUAAACAGUUAAGGACACUGAUUUAUAGGGAAAGACUAAAAUAAGUAAAUAUAUGAAGUUCAGAAAUAAAAAGAUUACUGGCAUAAUUACAUUAUGCACUAUCUGGAAAAAAAAUUGUGGCCAUGACUAUGAAAGAUGUCUUAAUUUAGAAAGUAAAAUAAGAGCAGCAUAUGAAAUUACAGGUCUUCCUUAAUUAUCAAAAAAUAUUUCUUGGAAGAUUGAGAACUAGGAAAUAGAAUGCAGGGGAAGAUCUUUUGUGAAAUGAGUCAGUGACAAUUAAGGACCUAUAUACACCAUCACCAGUUCAGAGCACCAAAAUAUUUCUGCUAAAUGUUUCCAAAUUUGAAUAUCAAGAAACCAGAAGGAAAGUAUGAGUCAUUGAGAUGCCCUGAUCCAGGAUUUCCUCAUGUUUUAACUACUACAAAAUCCAGUUUGCUAAACUCAAAGAAUAAAAACAUCUAAUUUUCUAUAAGCAAUGUUUUUAGUAGGAACAGAGACUUAUAAUUGUUUGACUGUCUGUAUUAUGUGUCAUUUUCACCUACACCAGAGAUUCCUAUGCAUACCAAGGGCAUUUCAAAUUAAAAAUAAUUAUAUAAUAAAUGGAGUUUCUUUUCCAAUCAGAUAAGAAAGCUAUGAGACUGUUACUCUCACCCAAUCAAUAAUAACAAAAGCCAGAUAAACUACAAAAAUCAUAGCUCUUAAAACUCAUUGAAGACUUGGAUACACACUGAAACUCAAACAAACUAAUAUACAGAAAGUGUUGAGUCCUGCAUAGAAGAGAAGAGACCAUGGCUGCUGAGAAAGAAAAUACACCAUGAAAGUGAGAUACAGUGGGGGUGGGGGUGAAUAAGUUGAAAUUGGAUACAGAUUUAAAGAAUUGUUAGCAAUAACAUGUAGGCUGACAUGGCAGAUUAGAAUUUGGAGGAACCCCACCCACAGGCCAAGUCUGCACCUACCUACCAAUUCUUGCUCAUAAAUAUUCACCAAGUGUAAGGAGUAAUACCCUAAAAGCAAGGGAUAGUGGUGGCAAAGAAUGAGAGCUAAGAGAUUGCUCCAUUGGGCUGUUCAGGGCCUCUUUCAAGUGCACAUUUCCCUCAGAGGAGGGUAACUAGGGAUGACAGCAGAGACAAAUUCAUCAUCUGAAAAAGGUUGGAGAGAUCAGAGAGCUGAGAGGAACACACACACACACACACACACACACACACACACAAUGCAAUUACAGUUUAAUUUUAAAUUACCAAAGCUGAAAAAAAAUCUCUUUAAGGCAUUCUACAUCUUCAUGGAGUAUAGGGCCACAGCGCUCCAAAGGCCAGGAGAGAGGUAACAGCGGUAAAAGAUCUCUAAAGAGAUCACCCACAGAUUCAGAAACCAUUGGGCAAGACUGGAAAAGAUAAAUCUCCAGACAUCUAAUAACCUGGAAACCAGGCUGUAAACUACGAAGAUAUUCCAUAGUUUCAAAAGCUGGUGGCUCCCACUUUGAAGCAUAGGUAGAUCUCUGGAGCCUUGGCAGUACUUUAGCCCCAAGUUCAGCAGAAAGGAAAGCCCUGAUUUAAUCCUCAAACCUUUUGAAGACAAUGAGAAACAAAAUAAAACUAACAUUGAAAGAAAGAACAACCCAGGUCAACUAGAGCAUAUUGACUCAGUCCCUUCUCUGGUAGCCUGAUUAAAAAAUGUGCCCUUUCUAGAAACAAAUAUAACUUACAUCAGUUUCUUCUACCCUUAUACAAAAUGUCUGGCACACAAUGAAAGAUUACAAGACAAACAAAAGGCAAAAUAUAUGAACAAUGGAUAAGAGAGGAAAUAGUCAAUAGAAGUAGAUCAGAGAUAGCUCAAACAUUGGAAUUAUUAAACAGAAUUUAAAAUAACCAUGAUUUUUAAAAAGUUAAAGAAUAUAGUAAAAAUUGUGGAUAACAGGUAUGAAUAAUUGGCAAGUGUGAGCAAAGAUAUGAAUUACAAAAUUAUAAUUAUAAAAAAGAUCUAAACAGAAAUGUUACAUGUGAAAAGUUUGAUAUGAGGUACACUUACAGGCUUCCAGUUAUGUAAUGAAUAAGUCACAGGGAUUAAGUGUGCACAUAGGAAAUAUAAUCAAUGGUAUUACAGUAGUGUUGUAUGGUGACUGAUGGUAGCUACGUUUGUGGUGAGCAUAGCAUAAUCUGUAGAGUUGUUGAAUCACUGUUUUGUACACUUGAAAUUAAUGUAACAUUGUGUGUCAACUUUAUGUCAAUUUAAAAAAGAUGGAUUUAACAGAGGGGUGGACAAAGCAGAGAGCAGUAUCAGUGAACUAAAGGCAGAUCAAAAAAAAAAGUUUCUUAACAGACACAAAGAGGGAAAAAAAAGUACAAAUAGGAAUUAAAAAGAACAGAGUAUCUGACAUAUGAGGAAUAAUAUCAAACAGUA